GUCUUAUCAAGAGUGGGCGAGAGAACGGGCUUGAUGACCCCACAGCAACCUGCCGCAGGCAAGGUGCUAACACCCGCAAAGCGGUUUCGCUUUGGAUGAUAAGAA
rfam:Geobacillus kaustophilus HTA426 DNA, complete genome.